UACGUAGGGUGCAAGCGUUAUCCGGAAUCACUGGGCGUAAAGCGUGCGUAGGCGGGAAUUUAAGUGAGAUGUUAAAUCGUGUGGCUCAACCAUAUCGAUGCGUCUCAUACUGGGUUCCUAGAGGAUGGCAGAGGCAAGUGGAAUUGGUAGUGUAGCAGUGAAAUGCGUAGAUAUUACCAGGAACACCAAUGGCGAAGGCAGCUUGCUGGGCCACCCCUGACGCUGAGGUACGAAAGCGUGGGGAGCGAACAGG
rnacentral:rRNA from 1 species